AGAGAACCUGUAGGUCGCUUGUCUCUGCCUUCAGACGUGAUUAUUCAUUGUGCUGCGACAUGGAGAGUUCUCUGGCAGGAGUCAGACGUUACCUCUGCAGGAAUGGGGACUGCUCGUGGGAAUCGACAUCAGCACUCAGUGCAGUGAGGAUCUGCUUGAGCAAUACGUACUCUGCUAAAUUCAUCAAGCUUCUGUCAAAGACCUGUAACGUGUGGCUCCAGCGGUGCCUUUACUCAGUUUGUAGCCUGGUGGAAAGUUCACAUCUGCCAAUCCUUACCACAUUAUACAGGCGAGAAAAUACUUAAUCUGUGUGCUUUAUGAGAGACCUCCUGGCUCUUCCGUUGUUGAGGAUGAGGACCACUCUCACACAUAGCUUUCUAUUUAAAGAAAGAACCAUGAUAUCAAUCCUGGAAUACAAAUGUUGUUAUAUAAAUAAUUAUUCUGAAAUCUUUCAGGUUUUUUUUGUUUUUUUUUUUUUCCCCUGGUGAUUUAUGGUGUCUUUAACCAAAGCAAUGAACAGAAAUUAAUACAAAGCUAUAUUAAAUUUAGUCAGAAAAAAAUCAUGCAGCUUUCAAUGCCCUAUUUAUCCUGCUAGCCUAGAUUUUUCUUCAAAAUAUAUGGCUCAAAUCUGCCCCGUUCUGCUUAACUUCAGCCCUUUUUCUCUCUCAGUUCUCCUGCUCCUUGACUGGAACCCAUCCUGACACACAAGCCAGGGCAAAUGCUUUUCAUUGCACACCCCAUGCUGGUGCUAUUUGUGUUUUGUGUUCCUGAAGGUGAUCACUAGCAUCACUGCUAGAUGCAUUUUGGCACUUCUUCAGAAAACCUGCGAAUACCAUACUCAAGGUGGACUUAAAGAUGCUCAAGGUCACAAAACACAGAUUUAACAGCAUGACUAUACUGUUCAAGCAUGAACAUUAUAGACCUUUACUCAGAGUGAUUUUGCUGCAGAGCAAGUUGUGCUGAACACACCAUGGAGCUACAAUUGGAGACAAGAAGAUGGUUGAAGGUAUGACCAACAUUUCCCUUGAAACAUUUGCUUCUUCAUGGAAACUUCCAUCCAUUAGCUUAGCUUGUUAGUUCUAAAGCCCUACAGUUUGCUAAUCUUCCUUCCUUCCUUAGCUUUUUAUUUCUUCAAAGUAGUGGUUACAGACUGGAACCUGCAAAGUGCUGAGCACUUCAAUUCCACAUCAAGCAAAACUCUUAAUGUUAAUCAUGCUAUGAAAAAUGCUGCCAGAUUAGAGCUAAAUUUUUACACAUCCCCUGUAUCUCUCCAGCUGGGUGCCUUUUUCGUUCAUGUAGAAGGAUGGCUGUGCAGUUAAGGCACUGAGCUUGGGCUGAGGCAGUGCUAAGUCCACUUUAAUCUACUACAGCCUCCCUUAAUCAUGUCCUAAUUUACAAAAUAGAGGUGAUAAAUAUUUUGUCUUUCUGAUUCUAAACUCUUGGGAUGGCGUUUAUUUCUUAGCCUUGUAAGAACAUUAAGAUAUCUUAUGCAGUGCUACAAAUGAAUUCUGUCUCUUACAGGGCAGGUAUCUAAGCCCUGGGCUGAUUGGUGAGGAUUCCUGGCAUUCAGCUUUAGAGCAGGAAUGCCCUCGGAGAGCUUCUUGUCACUGGCUCUGUGCUGUUUAAUUGCACAGCAAAUAGCACUGGUGCUUCAGAUAAUAGUUUCUUCACAGCCUUUUAUUUCCAGAUAAAAAAAAAAGAAGAGUAAAUUUCAGAUUGUCUUCAUGUGCCUUCAUUUUAAGAAAGGCAAUGUUUUAGAGCUUUUGAAAUUCAAUUCAAGUGAUGAGCAUUCUUUAUAUCUACAUUUUAAAGUGCCAGUUUCCAAUAUCUGCACAAGUGAAAGUAUAUCUCAUUUUUUCUCUCUACCUUUGUUAGUAAUUAUUGUAAUCAUAGGGUAACAUCUCAGUUUUGCAGUUUUGUGUAUUCUCUGAGCAAUUCAUACCCAGUUGAGCUUACUGUCCCUGUCUCAUUCAUUUAAUUAAACAUUAAGUCAUUGAACUUUAAGUAUGCCAAGGUUAGUAAUGUAGCAGAAUAGUAACAAUUAAACAUCCAGACAGUGAAUCUACCACCGACCUCUUUUGAAGAAGUUUACAGUAUGCCAUACAAUUAAUUAUUUGAAGCUUGAAAACAUUUAAUUUCUCCAGAGUGCAAAGUGGAACUAUUACAUCUCCAUUAUGAGAAGAAAAGUAAUAACUUCUAAAGGUAUUAAAAACCUUUAAGCAAUAUCUGAUGUAUGUCACUGCUACACAGCACCUCCUGUGAAACAUUUCUUGCUUGUAAAGGUAAGAUCACACCUACUGUUCUGAUAACAGUGAUUUACUGUGCUACCUGUCUGUCUAUCAGUGCAUCUCCCUAUGAGUUAGCAUGUUGUUCCUAAAGCUCUUCACAAAGUCGACUUCCUUUUUCAAGCCAAGAGGUAAAGGUCUUAUAGCACCACAGGAAGCAGCACACUGCUAAAAUGAUGAUGGAUGGAUGAAGGCCGAAGGGUGGCUCUGAAUUAAUUUCUUGCUGGCUGAUGUUUCUGGAUACACUUCCUCAACACCAGCAGAAGUCAGUGGUAACAGUCAUCGAAUCACAAAUCAUUAGGGUUGGAAAUGACACUUCAGAUCAUUGAGUCCAACCACCAACCCAUCACCACCGUGUCCAUUAUCCAUGUUCCUCAGUGCCACAUCUACACAUUUUUUGAAUAUCUCCAGGGAUGGUGACUCCACCACCUCUCUGGCAGCCUGUUCCAGUAAACAUUACUGAGUACAUCAUUUUGUAGUUUCUUAUGGUUUUGCUGGCCACGCCUAAGCUGUUGUCCUCUUUGAGUUAUGCACUUUUGUGCUUAUGUGACUCUAUCAGAGGAGAAACACUUGGUUGGUAGUAUGUGAAAAUAUAGUUACAAAUACUCAACCAUUGGAAAAGUUGAACAGAGCUCAUGGGUGAUAUUGUUGUAUAAAAAGAAUCCCACGAGGCUUUCCUUGGCUGUUUGCCUGUUCAUAGAAAUUAUUACAUAUAUAUGAUAUAGACAUCCAUAAGUACCGAUGAAUAAGAG
ensembl:lncRNA